rnacentral:rRNA from 1 species
UACGUAGGGUGCGAGCGUUAAUCGGAAUUACUGGGCGUAAAGCGUGCGCAGGCGGUUCGUUGUGUCGGCGGUGAAAGCCCCGGGCUUAACCUGGGAAUGGCCGUUGAAACUGGCGAACUGGAGUGUGGCAGAGGGGGGUGGAAUUCCGCGUGUAGCAGUGAAAUGCGUAGAGAUGCGGAGGAACACCGAUGGCGAAGGCAGCUCGCUGGGACGUGACUGACGCUGAGACGCGAAAGCGUGGGGAGCAAACAGG